AGUGAACGCUGGCGGUAUGCCUAACACAUGCAAGUCGAACGGCAGCACAGUAAGAGCUUGCUCUUACGGGUGGCGAGUGGCGGACGGGUGAGGAAUACAUCGGAAUCUACUUUUUCGUGGGGGAUAACGUAGGGAAACUUACGCUAAUACCGCAUACGACCUACGGUUGAAAGCAGGGGAUCUUCGGACCUUGCGCGAUUGAAUGAGCCGAUGUCGGAUUAGCUAGUUGGCGGGGUAAAGGCCCACCAAGGCAACGAUCCGUAGCUGGUCUGAGAGGAUGAUCGCCGACACUGGAACUGAGACACGGUCCAGACUCCUACGGGAGGCAGCAGUGGGGAAUAUUGGACAAUGGGCGCAAGCCUGAUCAAGCCAUACCGCGUGGGUGAAGAAGGCCUUCGGGUUGUAAAGCUCUUUUGUUGGGAAAGAAAAGAAGCAGGUUAAUACCCCGCUGUUCUGACGGUACCCAAAGAAUAAGCAGCGGCUAACUUCGUG
rnacentral:rRNA from 1 species